ACAUACCAUUGACAGGCGCAGGAGAUGUGCUCUCCUUCGGGCAAUGGAUACAGGUGGUGCAUGGUUGUCGUCAGCUCGUGCCGUGAGGUGUUGGGUUAAGUCCCGCAACGAGCGCAACCCUCAUUGUUAGUUACUACCAUUCAGUUGAGGACUCUAAUGAGACCGCCAACGAUAAGUUGGAGGAAGGUGGGGAUGACGUCAAAUCAUCAUGCCCUUUAUGACCUGGGCUACAAACGUACUACAAUGGCCAAUACAAAGAGAUGCGAAGCGGUGACGUGGAGCGAACCUCAGAAAGUUGGUCUCAGUUCAGAUUGAAGUCUGCAACUCGACUUCAUGAAGGCGGAAUCGCUAGUAAUCGCGGGUCAGCAGACCGCGGUGAAUACGUUCCCGGGUUUU
rnacentral:rRNA from 1 species